rnacentral:rRNA from 1 species
GAUGAACGCUGGCGGCGUGCCUAACACAUGCAAGUCGAACGGAGAUAGCAAUAUCUUAGUGGCGCACGGGUGAGGAACACGUAGCUCACUUGCCCUGAAGUGCGGGAUAACGUCCCGAAAGGGAUGCUAAUACCGCGUAAGCUCACGGAUUGCAGAGGUCUGUGAGAAAAGGUUUCGAUCGCUUCAGGAGAGGGCUGCGGCCCAUCAGCUAGUUGGCGAGGUAACGGCUCACCAAGGCAACGACGGGUAGGGGGCCUGAGAGGGUGGCCCCCCACACUGGGACUGAGACACGGCCCAGACUCCUACGGGAGGCAGCAGUGAGGGAUAUUGGUCAAUGGGGGAAACCCUGAACCAGCGACGCCGCGUGGGUGAAGAAGGUCUUCGGAUCGUAAAGCCCUUUUCUGUGUGAAGAGAGAGGACGGUAGCACAGGAAUAAGUCUCGGCUAACUACGUGCCAGCAGCCGCGGUAAAACGUAGGAGACAAGCGUUAUCCGGAGUUACUGGGCGUAAAGGGCGUGUAGGUGGCAGAAUAAGUCUGUUGUGAAAGCGCCUGGCUUAACCGGGCGAGGCCAAUGGAGACUGUUCAGCUGGAGGCCGGUAGAGGUGGGUGGAAUUCCGGGUGUAGUGGUGAAAUGCGUAGAGAUCCGGAGGAACACCAGAGGCGAAGGCGGCCCACUAGGCCGGACCUGACACUGAAACGCGACAGCAUGGGGAGCAAACGGGAUUAGAAACCCCGGUAGUCCAUGCCGUAAACGAUGCCAGCUAGAUGUUCAGGCUGCAAGCGCAGACUGGGUGUCGCAGCAAACGCGAUAAGCUGGCCGCCUGGGGAGUACGGUCGCAAGGCUA